GAGUUUGAUCCUGGCUCACAACGAACGCUGGCGGCGUGCUUAAGACAUGCAAGUCGAACGAGAAAGCACCUUCGGGUGUGAGUAGAGUGGCGCACGGGUGAGUAACGCGUGGAUAAUCUGCCCUUGGGUCUGGAAUAACAGUUGGAAACGACUGCUAAUACCGGAUAAGCCCACGACGUCUUCGGGCGAUGUGGGAAAACGAUGGCCUCUUCAUGAAAGCUGUUGCCCAGGGAUGAGUCCGCGUUCCAUUAGCUUGUUGGUAGGGUAACGGCCUACCAAGGCUCCGAUGGAUAGCUGGUCUGAGAGGAUGAUCAGCCACACUGGAACUGAGACACGGUCCAGACUCCUACGGGAGGCAGCAGUCGGGAAUCUUGUCCAAUGGGGGAAACCCUGAGACAGCAACGCCGCGUGAGGGAUGAAGGCCUUCGGGUCGUAAACCUCUGUCAGUAGGGAAGAAUGCGCGAGGUUAAUACCCUCGUUGUUUGACGGUACCUACAAAGGAAGGACCGGCUAACUCCGUGCCAGCAGCCGCGGUAAUACGGAGGGUCCAAGCGUUGUUCGGAAUCAUUGGGCGUAAAGCGGGUGUAGGCGGUGAGGUAAGUCGGAUGUGAAAUCCCAGGGCCCAACCCUGGAACUGCAUUCGAAA
rnacentral:rRNA from 1 species